rnacentral:rRNA from 1 species
GAUGAACGCUGGCGGCGUGCCUAAUACAUGCAAGUCGAGCGAACAGACGAGGAGCUUGCUCCUCUGACGUUAGCGGCGGACGGGUGAGUAACACGUGGAUAACCUACCUAUAAGACUGGGAUAACUUCGGGAAACCGGAGCUAAUACCGGAUAACAUGUUGAACCGCAUGGUUCAACAGUGAAAGACGGUUUUGCUGUCACUUAUAGAUGGAUCCGCGUCGCAUUAGCUAGUUGGUAAGGUAACGGCUUACCAAGGCAACGAUGCGUAGCCGACCUGAGAGGGUGAUCGGCCACACUGGAACUGAGCCACGGUCCAGACUCCUACGGGAGGCAGCAGUAGGGAAUCUUCCGCAAUGGGCGAAAGCCUGACGGAGCAACGCCGCGUGAGUGAAGAAGGUCUUCGGAUCGUAAAACUCUGUUAUUAGGGAAGAACAAAUGUGUAAGUAACUAUGCACGUCUUGACGGUACCUAAUCAGAAAGCCACGGCUAACUACGUG